GGUUUGGCUGGCAGCUGGACUGCAUCUUCAUUGCAGGCUGUCAGGAACCGGUGUGUGACUCCACUUAGCGUGACGGGGAACCUCACACCCACAGCUCCUGGUGCUGAGAGACUUUGCAUUCUGAGCGUGUCUGUCACUGAUCUUUUCUCACCUUGAGGAAGAUUGGAGCCAAGUGCUCUGGGAUGCCUUUGUGUGCCAUCGACUGAUGCAGGGCUCAUAAAGGAUUGCUGGCAUUACCACAGGGAGCUGCUAACAGAAGGAAAGCAACGUGUGUGCAUGUGUGCAAGUACGGGCAAGGACCCUGCACUACAUGGCACAAGGCUCAUGAUUCAUCCGAGAACCACACAAAAUCAUCCUCUGGGAUUGCUGGCAUUUUUGUAUGACUUCAAAACUUGGCACUCAGCGUUCUCAGGAGGAAAAUCUUUAGGAGUUAAAAGAAUACAGCUGAAUUGCAAAGAGGGAACUGGCCAGAAGUGGCACGACCUCAUCCCCUAGCAACAGAAAUCAAUAACAGCAAAGAUAACAUAAUUACACCACAGAAAGGAUCCAGAGGGCAGAUUAUGUCAAGUAUUACGUUGUUAAGAAAGAAUGACAUGUGAAAGAGACAGCGUGCUUUAAACAUGGACGAAAACACAGAAAACGUGGAAGGUAGAUAGGGAGAAGGAAAAUACGAACACAGAAUAAAUUAGCCUGCAGAGUCUUAAAAGGGAAAGAAAAUUAUUCGUGUUCCUGCUUUCAAUCUUCUAUUUAUUCAGUAAACAGAAUUAGAUUCCCAAGGGAGCAGAGGAAGGCAUUUUAUUUCACAAGGAGCAUCGUGGCACAGGGAAAAUAGACUACCCUAUGAUGACAGCCUUGUGCUGGGGCUCCUGAGACCCAGCUCAUUUCCUCCUUAGGUACAGAUGGUCCAUUCUGCUUAAGAAAACCAAGGGCUUUCUGUGCCUCAGUCUCCCAUCACGAAAAUAAUGCCAGCAGAAGAGUAAGGAUUCAGAACUGAGAUGGAUCAGAUACUGCCGUAGUCUGGGAAUUAAACAGAGUUGUCUGCAAGAGAGAGAUCCCUGCACUGACAGGGGUCUUGUGUUUGCCUCAAACACUCUUGUUUUGCUGCUCAGGUUGCUCAUAUGCUUAGAAGAGGCUGGAUGUUGUGAUGGAGCACUUCUCUGCUUCUCUGCAGUAUUCCAAGUUCCAGCACCACACAGCUGCCAGCACAGAGAUUAUCUAGGAAUGUGUUCACUGAUACAACUCUCUGCUAAUGCUGUCAUAUAGCUUUGAAACACUACCUACCCAGGGGGUAAUUUUUCAAGGAAGCUCUCAUUUUGAGCAAAGCAGACAAGUGCCAAUAAAAGCUCGUAUGCCUAUUGUUUUACAUCAUGCUGCCAGAACACCUGAUCCUCUCCCACACUUCCACCAGUUUCUUCCCUGUAGUUGCUCAAAUUUACUGUCACAACACUUUUUCUCCCUCUACCGCACAGAGCACUAAAAUGUGGACUCCAUCACUCAAUAUUUGGCUGCGUAUUACAUGAUCGAAACAAUCACCAAUUCAUCUAGUUAUUUCAUUAACUGUUUCAGCCAGUCUUACUUGUACAUAGCCAGACAAACCUACUGCAUUUCUCCUGACACACAUAUAUACAUAUGCUCAAGAAGUCUCAAGAAGUCUUAAGAGCUCAGCCAAUAAAAAUGGAAAAAUACAAGUCAGAAAGACAUAUUUAUAUAGUAUUAAGAUAUACGUGAAGUAUUACUUACACUGUAGUGUUUGCCUCAAACACUCCUUGUUCUACCUGCUUUCAUUAUCCUUGUAACACUCUGUGUGAUCAAUAUUUCUUCCUCUAUGUCAAAUUAUAAAUUGAAUGGGUUCAAAUGUCAUCCAUGGAGGACACACAAGCAGAGAUGUACCUGGACACAGAGACUACACGUCCUUCAGUAAAUAAAGCAGUCUAGGGAAAGUUCCGGACUCUGUGUCUGUCUUCAACACAGUUAAAUGGUUAUAAAGUUUCCAGGCAGUUUUGGCCUAAGGCUGUCAGACACUCUUACAAACAAUUCCUGGACCCAGGUCAGAAGCUGGCACUGGCCAGGGGUUGUUCGCAAUGGGAAUUUGAAUUCCACCACCCUGAUCUGGAGGGUCAGAGAGGACAGUAUGGACAGCCUCUUCCAUGACAUUUGGCCUCAAAGACAGAGAACAAUCCCAGGCACGUCUAGUUUACUCAUAUGUACAUACUCUGUGAGUGCUUAUGCCUUCCUACCAUAGGAAACAAGCCCCAAAUUUGUUAUAUUCACCAAGUCUUCCUAAUUCUUUUGAUUCUGAGCUAGUUCUUAGAGAGCACUGCCUCAUGCCUCCCAUCUGUGAAGAGUCCUACUGCAUUUUUUUGGAAAAUUUGCAGCAGAGAGCCAGUGCAGACUGGGCACCCAUCCAGACCUGCUUUGAGGUGGUACCCAUCUUCACGGUCUCUUCUAAGUAGCAGGAGCCGAAAACCAGCCAAUAAUGGUCAUAAGACGUAAAGCUCAGCACAGAUGGUAUCUUAUUCAACCUCAACGUGAUGCAAACAAAAGAACUAUUUUAACACAUUGUACAAGAUUGGGGGACUUUCCACACUGUUUCCCAGGAGUGCCGAUUUAGCUAUCUUGGCACUUAUCCUACAUCCACCAGCCAAACUAGUCUAUUUUUCCUUCAGAACAAUACAUUUUGCAGAUAUUACUAAAUCCUGUUUUUUUUCCCCAGCUUCAUAUGGAACUGUGUUAAUCACAGCUCAGUGGAUAGGAGAAUCAGUGCAGUGGAUCCAGUUUGAUAAGCUCUUUUCAAAGCGUACAAAGUCAGUCUCCUUUAAUACUGGCUUUUAUAGUUCUCCCACUUGAGCUGCUGUUUAACUUAACUGCAUUCCCUUUCUGUCAUCCUAGUUAUCUGUUCUAAAUCCUAAAAAGCUUUAUGAAGGACUAAUCAAGUCACUAAUGGCAUCUCCAUAUGGGGUCAGGUUAAAAAAAAAAAUCAGGCUGAAAUGAGUUAACACAGGUUUCUUUCUGUCUAGUAAUCUUGCAUCUGCAGGGACACUGAAUUUACUCACAUUAGUCCAAUUUACUGAUGUGUAUUCACAUGAAGUAAGAAGAUUUUCCACGUGAAGUAAGAAUACUUUGAUUUCCUUGUGACAAGUACUGUGUUUUCAAAAGGAUCAGAUGACCAUAAAUAUUAUGGCAAAUUAACACAGGACAACAAAGGAGAAGUACAUGGUAAACAGGUAGAAAAUAUAGGUUGUUUAAAGAAUAUAUAUAGAUUUUGUCCCGUUAAAAACUGAAUUUAUAUAGAAAAUGUAUCAUCCUGUCAGCAGAGCCAUUCAUUAUUAUUUUCUCUUGUAUGCAAUACUGGCAUUUCUUAAGAAUACUGCAGUUACUCCAGAGGUUGUUAAGUGGUACGUAGUAUCCAACUGGAGGAAAAUUAAACUGCAAUUGAUCUAGAUGGAGCACUGAAGAACAGAAAGUUUUCACUAUUUGAUAAUUCAAGCAAUAUAUUUAGUUGGGUCAGAAAAGACAACUGAGUUUGUGAAUGUCAGCUGCUAAAAAUGACUUUAUAUAUAUUUAUUUCUGUUUAGAACUCAUUGCAAACAACAAAUUUCACUAAUUUUUGGUCCAUUCUUUUAGAAGGACUUCAUGGACCAUAUUCUACUGCUUCUGAAAAACUCCUGGUUCACCUUGGAAGCAUUUAAAAAUGGGCCACUGCAGUACUGAAUAUGUGUUCAUGUAAAUGAGCAUAUGAUCAGCAAUGAUCCAAUAAUUCACUCAUUUCAAGAGCUUUCAUUUACCAAAGAUUGUGGGAGCCUAGGGAAGCCCCUGCUCCCUGUAGG